AGUGAACGCUGGCGGUAGGCCUAACACAUGCAAGUCGAACGGCAGCACAGGAGAGCUUGCUCUCUGGGUGGCGAGUGGCGGACGGGUGCGGAAUACAUCGGAAUCUACUCUGUCGUGGGGGAUAACGUAGGGAAACUUACGCUAAUACCGCAUACGACCUAAGGGUGAAAGCAGGGGAUCUUAGGACCUUGCGAGAUUUAAUGAACCGGUGUCGGAUUAGCUAGUUGGCGGGGUAAAGGCCCACCAAGGCGACGAUCCGUAGCUGGUCUGAGAGGAUGAUCAGCCACACUGGAACUGGGACACGGUCCAGACUCCUACGGGAGGCAGCAGUGGGGAAUAUUGGACAAUGGGCGCAAGCCUGAUCCAGCCAUACCGCGUGGGUGAAGAAGGCCUUCGGGUUGUAAAGCCCUUUUGUUGGGAAAGAAAUCCAGCUGGCUAAUACCCGGUUGGGAUGACGGUACCCAAAGAAUAAGCACCGGCUAACUUCGUGCCAGCCGCCGCGGUAA
rnacentral:rRNA from 1 species